UUGUGGCCUUAUAGGACGGUGUUGUAAAUCCAAUAACUCAAAUCGGGUUCAAGCUUUGGUAACUGCUAGCCUCUUCGGACCAGCAUGUGUGGUCAAGCUGGAGAACUGGUCUUCAAGCCAGGCCUGGUUCCUCAUCAGACUGCCAGGGCCUUGGGGCAAAUCCAGUGAAAAGCAAUUUGGCUCAGAUUGCUGGCACCCUAUGCAAAAUUUUAGGAUUGUGUGAUGCUUAUCCACUCGACCGUCCGUUACACAACGGUCUCAUCUGGAGAAAUUAUGACCCAAUAAUCCAGUUGCUUAGCAGAAGAAUUCUUAUCUUGACAAGGUGUUAGAACUA
rnacentral:lncRNA from 1 species